UAAAGAAUUGUAUCAUUAUUUGGAGAAAGUUAAUGUAAUCAAAAGGCCUAUACUAACAACAUAAACGGUGACUUUAUUUCAGGAUUCUCAAGUCUCAGUAACUACUGUAAGUGAAAAAUCAGUCAACUCAAUCAUUGUAGUAGGAAAGCAUAUUAAUGUUUGUUUGAAGACGUAUCUACGUGAAGGAACAGAAAAUUACCUGACUUACUAAAGGAAGAGUGAACUCCGAAAAAUGUUAGUACAAGUCACAGUGAUUCAAUAUUUCAAAAUAGAUUUGUUCAACGGCAUAAUUCAUACUAAUUAGCUUGGUACCAUCGGACAAGAAAAGGCAUGUUUAUGGACCGUUUCUGCUGCAAUAUCACAAAGAAUGCUGGUUUAUGCACACCUGUAACACAAAUGGUUCUUGAAUAUUGUAUUAUAUAAUAAACUCUUAUAUUAUGACUACAUUACGAAAAAAAUGCUUAUUUAACCGGACUGUAAAGCAGCCUUGAAUUUGAGUGAAUUUUUUUGAGUUAAGCAAGUACCGUACUCUACAUCUUAAGUGAGAAAUUCUGUCAAGACCCGGUGAUUGAGUAUUCAAAGAAAAGAAGCUGGACUACCAACUCAAGCAUCAGUCAUUUUUUAAACAAACACAACAGUAAACUCUAAUCGCAACAAUGAACCACUUCACUGAUAGCACCACUACCAAACUACAAGAAGACGCACUAAUACAGCACAGCAAUUCCAAACCAAAGGGCCCUUUUCAGAGCCACCACUUUAACAAAAGAGAUUUGAUGCAUUAAAUGUGAUAAAUGUCACACUGGCCUUUGAAAAAUAAAGUCUUAAUAAAUAUUUUUAAAUUAAUUUAUUGUGCUAUUACUGCCAUCUCUGAAUACAUAAUUAUGUAAUAUUCAUCAUUUCAAGAAGCAAUUAGUACCUCAAUAUCUCAACAUAAUAUUGUAUUUUUAUUAUUUACAUUAUUUAUUUACACAAGCGUUUACUAUUCCAGCACUAUCAGGCAGAUUUCCACAUACAUGUACAUCAACACAUUUACUUGGGCAAUUCCUUUUCGUAAGCUUUUUUUUCUUAGAUUUUAAGGUACUGUUUAAAAAAAUUUUGUACAGUAUCUGCAUGUACAUUUACAAUAUUAUUAUUACAUCCAUUGGUGACUCUCUAAAGCGUUCAGUGCACCUCCAAUUUCCUCUUUGGUGUAAACACUUGCAGGCCUUUCAGUCUGUUUUUUUUUCUGAAAAUAAAUAUAAAAUUACUGUAUUAAAAUAAUUUUAAAAAGUAGGAAAUACAAAUAAUUUAACUACUGCAUGGUGUUUUUUGUAUUGGAUUCAACAGAACUUCAACUAUAAAAUUAAGUUACGACCCCAUCACACGAUUACACCUAGGCCUACAUUUAUCUGCCUUUAAAUUAGGACACAAAAAAAAAUACAGUACAUAUAUAAAUAUGGCUACCUGCAGUAUUUAUUAAUCUAGGUUUGUGAAAAUAAAUUUCCAGGCAUCAAUUAAACUGGUCAAUAAAAAACAUAACAUACACAAAAGUAGGUAUGAAAACAGAAGUCAAUCAAACAAAUACCAAAAUUAUUAAUACUACAGGUCCAUGGUUUAGCCCAUAUUAGGCAAAAUUUAAAAAAUUUUCUCUGAGCUAGGCCCCUGCUGGUUACUGUCACCCGCUCAUGCUGAAGCAGCGACUGCGCACCGUUUACAAGCCCAGGUCAUCGCUAGGAAGGCUAUUUCAUUUGGUGUCAAGCCUAUGCAGUUGAAGUAGUGGUACCACGUAUUACUAGGCCUAGGCCCUAGUACAGUUUGGACCAUCACAUGCAAUCAUUUUAUCCUCUGACUUCUGUUUGCAUACAUAGUGCAUUUUGCGUUUCUAUUAUCGAUCUCUGCAUCGUUGAUGCAAAAAUCUAAAUCGUCCAUACUGUAUUCGUAUUUUCAUGGACCUGGUAUUUUCAACAGUUUAAUGUGUGUGUCUCGAUCGCGGAGAACCAGGCAGCCGAAUGAAAGCCUAAUGCGCAUGCCCAGAAAUAACGGUAUCGAGCUUAUCUUUUCAUAGUUUAUUCCGAUAAAUAUACCCCUCUCUUAUCUUGUCGGAAAAGAUGAUUGAUCAAAGGGAAAUACAACGUUGUAUGUCCUUCUUUUAAUAGGUCCAUGCUUGAACCAACCGAAACCUAUAUUAUUCAAUGAAUGCUUGAAUCAUAGAGAAAAUGGAACUAUUUUCUCUAUGCUUGAACCAACCAACAACUGCAUUACUCAAUGGAUGCUUGAACCAAUCAACAACUGCAUUACCGAAUGGUAUUUUGAACCAACCAACAACUGUAUUAUACAGUAAAUCCUUUAGCAAACCAACAACUGUAAUAUUCAAUGGGUGCUUGAACCAACCAACAAUUGUUUUAUUCAAUGGAUUCUUGAACCAACCAAUAACUGCAUUACUCAAUGCAUGCUUUAACCAACCAAUGCCAAAAAACUUAUUAUUCAAUGGAUGCUGGAACCAAUCAACAACUGCAUUACCGAAUGGUACUUUGAACCAACCAACAACUGUAUUAUACAGUAAAUGCUCUAACAAACCAACAACUGUAUUAUUCAAUGGGUGCUUGAACCAACCAAUAAUUGUCUUAUUCAAUGGAUGCUUCAGCAAACCAACCUAACAACUUCAUUGUUUAUUUGAUGCUAGGACCAAUCAACAACUCUAUUAUUCAUUGGAUGCCUGAACCAACCAACAGUUGUAUUAAUUAAUGAAUGCUUGUAUCCACCAACAAAUGUAGUAUUUAAUGGAUGUUUUAACCAAGCAACAACUGUAUUAUUCAAUGAGUGCUUGAACCAAGCAAUAACUGAAUAUUUGAUGCCCCUUCAGCUAACCAACUCAAGAACUGUAUUGUUCAAUGGAUGCUUGAACAACCAACAACUGCAUUACUCAAUGGUAUUUUGAAGCAACGAACAACUGUAUUACACAUAAAUGCUUUAACAAACCAGCAACUGUAUUAAUCAAUGAAUGCUUGAAUCAACCAACAAAUGUAUUAUUUAAUGGAUGCCUUAACCCAUUAUUACGGGAUUUCUUAUUAUUUUGUGCGCAUGUUGCGCUCCAUAAGAUCAAAGAGUAUUGAAAAGAUAAACAAGGCAGACAGAAGUCAGUACGUACGCUAGCCUACAGUGUUCUAGGUGCUAAACAAUGUUUAUAAAUUAGUAAUUUACCUCUGCGACGCCGUUUCACUCAUCUAUUAUUCGUCUCCGGACAUAUUUUGACAUUGGAAGACUCCACUUUACCGUCAUCGUAAAAAAGGUCAAAGUUGUCUUAAUACAGUGUCUUCGUCUGUUGUCCGGAUUAGUAAAGUGGAUCCAAUAUGACGGAUGAGAGAAGAUUUGAUGGUCUCAGCUUUGCAGAGCUCGAGACAAAGUACCGGUCAUUCAAAGGACAUCUUACAAGGGCAAGGGACCGUCUUAAUCGUGUCCUUGACCGAAGUGAUACGAAGGUAGCCAAAGAGGCAUUUAAUGAUGUGCAAACAAACAUACGGAAUAUCACAGCGGUUCUAGAUGCAAUGGAUAUGGUUGAACCACCCGACUCUGGUUUAGAAGAGAUAGCCACCUCCCAUUUCGGAACUUGCGGUCCACGAACGGUCACGUGGGCGGGUAAAGUUGUUUAUUCACAAUCUCUUACCAUGCUCUUACCAUAGAGAAAAUAGAACAGAAGGAGUAACAUCGAGCGAAGAUCAAAGGUACAGACCUCCUCGCCGCGAUCGUAAUUAUCUCACCGUUACGUAACCUACUUGACGAGAUAAGCUAAAAUCGGCAAACGCGCAUGCGUCGAUAACUCUUACAAUCAUAACAUAGCAACGUAUCGCGAGCGAGAUCGUCGUGAUUGAAAUAUCGAUUUACCCAGCAAACACAAAACGUUUUCAGAACCUUCACAAACGUUUUUAUUAGGUCCUCUAGGUCUUCGACUUUAUUAAACGUUUACAAAACGUUUUAUUGAGGUCCUCUACGUCUUCGUCUUCAAUAAACGGUCACAAAACGUUUUUAAUAAGUCCGCUACGUCUUCGUCUUUAAUAAACGGUCACAAAACGUUUACAGAACGUCGAAGUUUUGACUACAAGAAUUGUGCCGCAAAGGUCUUUUUAUGACGUUGAACUAACGUUUAAAAAACGUUUUACAUGCAGCACCACCAAACGACGACAACAAUUAUAAACGAUAUAAUGAUAGGUCUACAAACAACUUUGAGGGGUACAAUUCAAACAGAAUUUUAUAUUUUCUUUGUAGUCCUCUGCAAAAAUCAAGUAUAUGUGUGUAUUUGUUUUGCUAAAUAAAUGUCAAAUUGAAAAAAAAAAUGGUACCACGUGAUCGAGGCCGCGCAAGCGCAGCUUUUACACAUGAGUG